ensembl:lncRNA
GCCAUGGUGCUGGGUGCUGGGCUCUGUUAGCCUAGUCCUGGGAGUGUGGGUGACAACUCAGAGAUCCAGUUAUUCAGCAAUGGCAGUGUAGAAGAGCGAGAAAUCACCCGUUGAUUUUGGUUCAUUACUAGCCCACUGAUACAAGUGAAUUGUAUACAACAAGCAUUAGAGCAGUCUCUGAAAUUUAGUAAGGGCUUUUUAAGUUACAAAAAGGAAAUUGGUGGUAGGCAGAAUAAAAGGGAUUAUCAUUCUACAAGGUUGUUGUUGACCCACGAAAAGACGCCGGGAUUCUUGGCUUCCGGAGGAGAAGAAUUCAAUCCGGGGCCAGAGAUGAGGCUUGAUCGCUCAGAGCUUUUGUGUAAUAAAGUUUUAUUAAAGCAUAAAGGAGAUAGAGAAAGCUUCUGACAUAAGCAUCAGAAGGGGGCAGAAAGAGUUACCCCCCUGCUAGUCUUCAGCUGGAUGUUAAUGAAACUAGCAGUCUGUUAAUGAAAGAAAGGAAUGUCUUAAAACUCAUUACAUGCCAACUGAGACAAGCAAAAAUGUCUCCAGACUUUACUAAAUUCUCCUACAGGGCAACAUCACUCCAGGUUGAGAAGCUCUGUUCUAUGGGAUCAGGGCUUCACACUCUUGCUGCAAGCAGCCUGUGCCAGGGCCAGAGUUCCAAAAAAGGCUUGUGUGUCAUAUGUCUGUGUAUUUAAAAGUAAUAAGUCAAGCUAACAAGAUGUUUAGUAAAGUAUAUUCUCUUGUAUCUUGACAGCUUCAUAACAGCAAAACCCUAAAUAAAUUUGGUUUUAUAUGAUGAAGUUGGCUGAAUGUCAAAAACUGAACUAUUGCAUAUAUCCUUAGCAAGAUGAUGGGACAGCAAUAUUUGGGUGAGAAAGACAUUCAUAAUUUAUAAAUUAUUGUAUGUUCCAUAAAAUUUAUUGCCCUUCAUUUUUCAUAAAAUCAUGAAAUAUAGUAAAGUUUUUGUAUAAUUUAUAUUCUACAGGCUGUAAUGAUCCAAAAGACAAAAAAGUGUAAUUAGUUUCAAAAUAUAAGAAUUUGAGUAUGUUUUCAUAGAAAAUAUAAAGUAAAUAAAUAUACAAAUAAAAAAGUGUUAAAGCUGUAAA